ACAAGCCAACACCUUCUUCUCUUAUGUUGCACUUUGUCAGCUCAGGGUGGGUGUUUCACACCUCGCGCUUCUCCCAGGACGCUCACACCUCUUUGACGGAGGACUGAUGUCUAUAGUGAUUCCUCUCCUGGUCCAAAUCCUGCGUUCUGGCGGGGGAGCUGCUCUGAGCUGACUGUUGAGGAGAAAGCAAAUGUUCAGCAAAUUUCUCUUGGGGAGUGAGUGCUUGCUAGAAGCUUCCUCCAAAGCAGUAUAUUUGCAGAUGCAGCAGCAAACAGCAUGAGCUGACAGGAACCCAACCUGAGAAUGUAGCCAACUGCAAAGAAGAAAUCAACACGUAAUUGACCAAACAGUUUAUCCCAGGCCCAGGCCCCAUGCGUGUUCUGCUCCUUUCUUCAUAAGCAAACCCAUUGGAAACGGAUUCACAUUGAGCCAUAGUGACUUAUGGAGCCAGGAGCUACCUUUUUCAGGCAAUUUGCAUUUAAAAGACAUAUAUAUGUGAAUGGAAUAUUACUCGGCCAUGAAAAAGAACGAAAGCAUACCAUUUGCACAACAUGGAUGGACCUAGAGGGUAUUAUGCUAAGUGAAAUAAGUCAGACAGGGAAAGACAAAUGCCAUUGAUUUAAUUUACAUGUGGAAUCUAAAGAGCAAAAUAAAUGAACAAACAGAACGGAAACAGACUCAUAGACACAGGGAACAGACUGAUUGCCAGAGGGGAGGGAGGCUAGAGGGCUGGAUGAAACAAAGGUGAAGGGAUUAAGAAGUACAAAGUGGUGAUUACAAAGUAGUCACCGGGAUGGAAAGUACAGCAUAAGGAACAUAAUCAAUAAUAUUAUUAUACCUGUUACGGUGCCAAGUAGGUACUAGAUUUAUCAGGGGGAUCGCUUGGUAAAUUAUAUAAAUGUCUAACCACUAUGUAUACAACUGAAACUAAUAUAAAAUAAUAUUGAAUGUCAACUGUACUUGAAAAAGAAAAAAAAGAAAGAAAGAAAAGCCUGGAGCUGAGCUGAAUUCUUGAGGAUAAAUUGUUCUGACAGAGAAGGUCUGAGAGGUGAGGCGGUUUUAUUAUUUCAUCCACGGAGAAGGUUGUAUUCAAGGUCGAGUAACAGGAGAGAGGGCGCUAAGUACGUCACUCAUCUCAGGGGCAUUUGCCUCUUCCUAUUCCCUCUACUUUUGAAUUUCCCCACCUAGAAAAGUGCUGGGCCCAGGGUAGACAAUCAGUAAUUCAAGUGAAAGGUAAGAAUGUGCAAACCUACCGUCGUGGUGGUGAGCGUGGGUUCUUGGGAAGAUGUACACAGAAAAUGACCGAAGCCGUGGACACUGAAUUAUUGAUAGGACAUCAGAGACGACCGGUGACUCGGCACUGGCGUGUACUGCAACCCACAAGGCAACUCUGGCCACUGAAUUUCUGAAUCUAAGACUUCUGUCCGUGUGAGCACAUUUCUGUAAAACAGGUUAAGCUUAAUUUCCUAAAGAAAAUUGGAGAACCGUUUAGAAAAUUGUCUUUCAUGUUUGUGACUUUUAGUAUCUUAUUCCAGAACGGCGGGGGCGGGGGGAGGGGAAGGUCCCCCACACUGCAGGGAUCCCAUGCGCUUUGUUUUCGUGAAUCGCUCUUGCAACUUUGUAUUGUUCCUGAAUAACCCCUAAUGAGACUGCAAGCUCUUCUUGCACAGCCCAAGUCACUUGGUUUUGCCCCGGGGCCUGGGCAGUGCCCUGCAAAUAGUAGGGGAGGUCUACACUCCAGACCCAUCCCCUGGGAAGCCCUUUUCAACCCCUCCAGGCAGAAUGCAGGACUUCAUCACUAACUGCUUGCGCUUUCUUCGUAUUUUGCUCAGACCACCUGUGCCACAGUCAUCUAAGCUUCUCUUCUCCGCCCCUCCCCGGAAACUUCCUGAGAUCAGGAACCAGGCAAGGUUCAUUCUCCCAGCACAGCUGUCACAAUGAAGAUAGUCAAUGCUAUCCGAUGAGUGAGUGAAUGAAUGAGUGAAUGAGUGAAUGAAUGAGUGAGUGAAUGAAUAUAGUUUCCAUGGUGGCACCGGGGGGAAUGAGACCACAGACACUUUUCCAGACCAUGUUGACAGGCUGCAGAGAAGGAAACUGGGAAGAUGCUGGCAAGGCGUAAAGAUCCUUCUUUAGCAGCAGAGGUACUUGAGGUAGAGACAGCCUGUGCUUUUGUUUUUGUUUUUGUUAGUCUUCACCCAAGGAUAUUUUUCUCUCUCUUUUUUAAUUGUUUUAUUGCUUAAAGUAUUACAAAGAGCAUUACA